rnacentral:rRNA from 1 species
CAGCCGCCGCGGUAAUACCGGCGGCCCGAGUGGCGGUCACUAUUAUUGGGCUUAAAGCGUCCGUAGCCGGGUUGGGAAGUCCUCCGGGAAAUCUGGCCGCUUAACGGUCAGAAUGCCGGAGGAUACUCCCAGCCUAGGGAGCGGGAGAGGCCGAGGGGAUUCCCGGGGUAGGGGCGAAAUCCUAUAAUCCCGGGAGGACCACCUGUGGCGAAGGCGCUCGGCUGGAACGCGUCCGACGGUGAGGGACGAAGGCCAGGGGAGCAAACCGGAUUAGAUACCCGGGUAGUCCUGGCUGUAAACGAUGCGGACUUUGUGUCGGACAAGCUAUGAGCUUGUCCGGUGCCGGAGGGAAACCGUUAAGCCCGCCGCCUGGGGAGUACGGCCGCAAGGCUGAAACUUAAAGGAAUGGCGGG